UACGAAGGACCCAAGCGUUAUCCGGAUUUAUUGGGUUUAAAGGGUGCGUAGGCGGAUUAUUAAGUCAGUGGUGAAAGCCUGCAGCUUAACUGCAGAAUUGCCAUUGAUACUGAUGAUCUUGAGUAUGAUUGAGGUGGGCGGAAUGUGUCAUGUAGCGGUGAAAUGCUUAGAUAUGACACAGAACACCGAUUGCGAAGGCAG
rnacentral:rRNA from 1 species